rnacentral:ncRNA from 1 species
CAUGCAUAUAUAUUACGCACUUUGAAAAUAAAGUAGAUGUGGCAGAUGACAGUAGAUUACUAGAAUUAUUAAGGGGAAAGUAAAUUAUCAUUGAAAAUCAUUUUUUGCCUCUUUUUAGCACUAUUUGAUGAUAUUCCAAAAUACCCCCUGGAUCUCUGGCGAAGAUCAGUAGGUGCCCUGAGAGGGCGGUCAGCCACAUUGGGACUGAAAUAAAGCCCAAACAUCUGUGGGAGGCUGCAGUGGGGAAUCUUCUGCAGUGCGCGCAAGGUUGACAGAGCG